rnacentral:misc_RNA from 1 species
GAUGAAGAACGCAGCGAAAUGCGAUAAGUAGUGUGAAUUGCAGAAUUCAGUGAAUCAUCGAAUCUUUGAACGCACAUUGCACCCCUUGGUAUUCCAUGGGGCAUGCCUGUUCGAGCGUCAUUUGUACCUUCAAGCUCUGCUUGGUGUUGGGUGUUUGUCUCGCCUCUGCGCGCAGACUCGCCUCAAAACGAUUGGCAGCCGGCGUAUUGAUUUCGGAGCGCAGUACAUCUCGCGCUUUGACAACAAAACGACGACGUCCAAAAAGUACAUUUUUUACACUCUUGACCUCGGAUCAGGUUGGGAUACCCGCUGAACUUAAGCAUAUCAAUAAGCGGAGGA